GAUGCCUAUGGAGACAGCUGGGCCAUGGAGUUGUGACUUGUGGGCCCCAGGCCUGACCAGGCAACCUGGCUGAUCCGUUCUGUUUCGAUACUGGCUGAGGCUCCUUCAGCUUAUGUACAAUGAAGAGAUGCCUGGAGAGAGAUACAUGAGAGGUAUAGCAGAGGCCACAUUCCCUGCACUGAUACGAAGAGCCAUCAGAUUUGUGCUGAGGGAUAUGUUCAUGAAAUUGAAGAAGAUUUUCUGUUGUAAAGCCACACACAGCACAUUUGUGGACUUUAAAGACAUUUAUUUUCAACUUCUUCAAUGGCUGCGUGAUUGCUCCUCUGGGAGGCCUGAAUUCCAGUACAGGUUCUUCCAACUUACGCUUUGGACUGGGAACCUAAAAAACAAGAAAAGUGUAUUUUAUGCAGUUAUAAAUACACAAUUCUUCUCAUGAAUAUUCACCAUUUGUGGACUUAAAAAUCUUCCAUGGAUAUGUUCCAAUAACCCCCUGCUAAAUCCACUCUCUCAAGUAAUAGAAACAACCAUCUAUGUCAACAAGAAUCAGUUCAGAUUCAUUUUGCUAGGUCACAAUGCGCCAAAUGCUGUACGAACAUUAAUAAAUGUUUUCCAGUAUUACUGUA